AGCCAUUAAAGAGGUGGAGGGCUGUUUUUAAAGCUGUAUUGUCGUAUUGCUAGGACUGCACAAUUAAUUACAGAUAAAGGAUUUUGACUUCCACAGAUCACUACUUUUCUUGCUGGAAUCCCACAGAAUAGACUGAAAAAAUCCUUGCAAGAAAUCCCCUUGCAAGACUGCACUGUACUGAAGGUGUUCUGGGGCGCGACAUGGCCCCGUCUCACCGGCAUGCUUCGGAUUUGCUUCGGCUUCCUUCGGCUGUGAUCGGCUGGACCCGAGCUGGCUCGCCGUCUUCCGCUCUGCUCAGACCUCUGCGCUCGUCAAAAGUGAUAAACGCCGCUUUCUAAAACACGCGCGGAGUCCGGGCUGUGUCUUCUCAGGCUGUUUGUCCGACAGACUCCAGUCUUUGCUCAACACACUUGUUUGGUGUGUUCGUUUUGCUGACCGGUGUCCCCCGCUGGUCACACUGAACCGCCGUCUCUCUUUCCUCCUCUCUGCGCUGCUGCUCUCCAUCCUCACAGCACAGGCCCAGCCCAUCCGCUCAAUACUCACCUCCGAUUGGCCAAGGCAACAGGUACCCGGGGCACCUGUAUCUAGCUUGAAUGAUGGUGGUGGUGGUGAUGAUGAUGAUAAUGAUAUUCCCAUUCAUUUAUUUAGUUUUUUAUUUAUUUAUUUCCUCCGUGGCUUUAUUCUUUUAUGAACUUUUUUUCAACUAUUUUCCCCUGUUUAUUUAUUUAUUAUUUAUUUGUUUGUUUGUUUUAUGUACAGAGGCAAACCCUUUUAUGUAUUUUAAUUUAUACUUGGCCAAUAAAAUGACGCUCAACAAUAAUGAUGAUAGUGAUAAUAACUGCAUCAUCAUCCUUUGCACUUUUUAACAUACUGUUUUUAUGUAUUUAUUUAUUUUACAAUGACAUUCAGGACAGUGAAAUUCAUGCCUUAAUACAACUUUCUAUCUACUGUUAUAUACAUACAUAUACACAUACUCAUCUUAGUGCACAAGCCGGAAC